GGAUCCAGACUUUGAUUUUGGCUCACGAUGAACGCUAGCUACAGGCUUAACACAUGCAAGUCGAGGGGCAGCGGGAUUGAAGCUUGCUUCAAUUGCCGGCGACCGGCGCACGGGUGAGUAACGCGUAUCCAACCUUCCGUACACUCAGGGAUAGCCUUUCGAAAGAAAGAUUAAUACCUGAUGGUAUGAUGAGAUUGCAUGAUAGCAUCAUUAAAGAUUUAUCGGUGUACGAUGGGGAUGCGUUCCAUUAGGUAGUAGGCGGGGUAACGGCCCACCUAGCCGACGAUGGAUAGGGGUUCUGAGAGGAAGGUCCCCCACAUUGGAACUGAGACACGGUCCAAACUCCUACGGGAGGCAGCAGUGAGGAAUAUUGGUCAAUGGACGAGAGUCUGAACCAGCCAAGUAGCGUGAAGGAUGAAGGUCCUACGGAUUGUAAGCUUCUUUUAUAAGGGAAUAAACCCUUCCACGUGUGGGAGCUUGUAUGUACCUUAUGAAUAAGCAUCGGCUAACUCCGUGCCAGCAGCCGCGGUAAUACGGAGGAUGCGAGCGUUAUCCGGAUUUAUUGGGUUUAAAGGGAGCGCAGACGGGUCGUUAAGUCAGCUGUGAAAGUUUGGGGCUCAACCUUAAAAUUGCAGUUGAUACUGGCGUCCUUGAGUGCGGUUGAGGUGUGCGGAAUUCGUGGUGUAGCGGUGAAAUGCUUAGAUAUCACGAAGAACUCCGAUUGCGAAGGCAGCACACUAAGCCGUAACUGACGUUCAUGCUCGAAAGUGUGGGUAUCAAACAGGAUUAGAUACCCUGGUAGUCCACACGGUAAACGAUGGAUACUCGCUGUUGGCGAUAUACUGUCAGCGGCUUAGCGAAAGCGUUAAGUAUCCCACCUGGGGAGUACGCCGGCAACGG
rnacentral:rRNA from 2 species